AACAAACUGAAACAAAAGAGUUGAAAAUUCAUAAACCGAGUUCCAUAAAAGAACAAACUAAUCUACAAUGGCUAAACAUUCAGAAAACAGACUUCUUCAUCUCAGUUUUUCCAAAGGAAAAUCCUUCAAAUAACUGCGAGGAGGAAAAUACCGCUUUACGAUUCCAAUUGAUGAAAAAAACGAAUUUCUCGAAUAAUUUCAAUUCGUUGAAUGAUAAAAAAACUUUUCAUCAAACUCAGUCGAGUUUGGUCCAUUAAGCAAUUACCCGAAUGCAUUAUUCGGUCCAAAAGUGUCGUUACGAGUUGGAAAUUUAUUGAAAAAGUUGAUCAAAAAGAUGCAAACACUACUUCGUUACCGGCCUCAAUGAAGAUUCCACGCGAAAAACGAUUUCGAUUCUUCAAAAAACCAAAUACGAUCGAAACUCGUAAAAAAACCGAAAAAACGCUGCUUUUAUACAGAAAAUAAAAGAAGGAUUAUUACUCAAGAUUUCUGUGAAAACACGUACCGUGUGCGACUGUCGACGGGAAGUGGAACACUGCUCGAUGCGAGCUCGCAGAGUUACUUAUUAUUGUGUCAGAAAGGUCGGUUAUUACAUGAUCUACUAAUCGCACAGUACCGCAUCCCCUCUUUUCCUCACGAACACUGUUACAAAAAUACACUUUGCAGCGUGCCUCCAGUCGAGCUGGACGAAUGUUUGUGUACGCGAUAUCCACGAGCGCUGUUCGAUGUAUCACACCGUUCAGUGAAGAGAAAUAUGUAGUUAAAAUUAAUUAAAAACACGCACAGUCGAUGUACGUGUAUCGACUAAUUUGCUGACGUGUGAUGAGUUUCGAAUUGUGUCUGUAUACGAUCUUUACGAGUACAUUUUUACGCUGAGUAUCAGCCACUUUAUCACUCAUCGUUGGCUCUAACGAUUCCCUUGGCAGUACUGAUUCAUUUGAUGAUAAUGAUUCGUGAAAGAGAACUAAAAAGUUCAAUAUGAUACGGUAUCUGCGCGUAUUUACAGUCGUCAAGGUCUCCAUCCAUUCCCCAACGAUAUAGGACUCGCUUAUCCUCGCGCUGACACACCGCAAACGACACGUAACUUCGUAGAAGUUAUUAUCAUUGUUAGUUUUCAUGAUAUAACUGGAUUCUACACUUAGUAACAAGGAGUGAUGUUUACGUGUCGAUCGCUGGCAGCAUAUCGAUUACGAAGCCACUUAAACCAAAUCCAUAUCAAUAGCAAUUCUCUUAUAUCUGAAAAAUCGAAUGAUUUUUAUCGAGUCGAAAAGGACUUAGCAAAUUUCAUUACACUUGGUCAGAGUUUGGAUCAUCAAAGUCACGAAACUCAAUGAUGAAUUUAGUUUUGUAAAAAACGUGAGAGGGCUAAUGUACUUUUGUUCCAAUAUUUCGAUAAUUUGUUUUCUUUUUUUGAGUAUUCUUCUGAAUAAAUUGACAGUUGGAAUAUUUCUAUAA